UGCGUAGACGGUUUCUUAAGUCUGUUGUUAAAUUCCCUGGCUUAACUGGGGGCUCGCAAUGGAAACUGAUUAACUAGAGGGUGAGAGAGAGAAGUGGAAUUCCCGGAGUAGCGGUAAAAUGCGUAGAUCUCGGGAGGAACACCGAUGGCGAAGGCAGCUUCUUGGCUCAUCUCUGACGUUGAUGCACGAAAGCGUGGGGAGCAAACAGGAUUAGAUACCCUGGUAGUCCACGCUGUAAACGAUAAUCACUAGACGUCGGCCUGGCAUAGCUGGGUUGGUGUCGAAGCUAACGCGUUAAGUGAUUCGCCUGGGGAGUACGGUCGCAAGAUUAAA
rnacentral:rRNA from 1 species